GACAGUUAUUACAGCCUCCAUUUCCUCAGCUCCCUCAGCUAGAAGCAGAAGUCCUGUUUUCUUUGCCAUGUUGACGUGGAUGCUGGUCAAAAACCGUCGAGCUUACAGGAGUCGAAGUCUUAAUUCGGGUGAAGCGCAAAACACCGGUAACACACGAUGCUGGGGUGGCGGUAAAGAUUGACGACGACGACGACGCAGAGCUGGGCUCAAGUUGUACUUCACCUUAGCCUGUAUCAAGAGCUCCUUGAACACUUGGGAUAUAUUCGUGUUGUCUUUCGCCGAUACCUCGACGAAACCGUUCUCCCAAUCAACCGUCGCCAACGCCUGCGUGCUCUCCUUGUCGACCUGAUCAACGAAAUUCGAUUAGGGGGGGAUGAUAAUUGGAAAUUGAAAACGACCUCCUGAAUUUUAACGGACGGUAAUAAGAAAAAACUUUCCGAGACGCGUCUCACCUCGCGAUGCUCGUCGGCCAAAUCGACCUUGUUCCCCACGAGGACGAUCGGCACCGCGGCGUAUCCUUUCGUUUCAAGUAUUUGCGAUCGGAGAACCUUGGCUUCCAGAAAGGAAUUGGAAUCGUUGACGUCGUAGACGAGGAUGAAGGCAUCGGC